rnacentral:lncRNA from 1 species
AUGUUUGAUACUGUGGCCUGGUGGUACCAGACCGAACCCUGCUCCACCUCAGCUCCUGUUUCUGUGCUGGGGCCCUGGCUGCUCCCUCCUGCUCUCAUUGACUUGUUCCGUGGCGUUGCCAUUAUUCUGCAUACCCACAAGGCCAGGGUUGGGGUGUUUUUUAAUUACUUCAGGAAAGCUUGUUUGGGGAAUACUCGCAUGUCGCAUUUGUGCCGACUCCAUGUGCGCAGAUGCCGCUCGGAAAGCACAGCUGCCAUAGCAGGCACAGGUCUGUGGCACUGGUGUGGAAGGGGACAGGAGGGCUGCCCACUUUCUCUGCCUGUCUCCCAGCUCCUCAAAGCUUGCCCAAGCCACUGCUCCCCUCCCACCCUCUGGACAAGGACAUUUAGCCAUGGCACACUGCCCUGCGCUGGGUUACUUCAUCACUCCUGCCAGUCCCGACCGUAUCAGGACUCGCAGGAUUUUCAGGGAGCAGGUUUGCAGGAGGGAGUGAGGCUGGCUGAGUGCUGGGGUGUAGGUACCCCCAACAGCCGCAUUAUUCCCUGGCCCUGCCUCAGCGUGGCCCAUCGCUACCCACCUCUGCAUGUCCUUUUCCCCGUGGGCUGUUCUCGGGCGGCUCAGGCCGCACCCCUGGGAGAGCCCCUUGCUGUCCCCCCGCGCUCAUUCCUGCCUUUCCCCACCUCACUGGGCUGCGACGGACGGGCCGCGCUGCCGGUGCUCAGUGGGAGCCGCCUCCCCCCUUCGGACCACCGCGGUGGGACUCCACAGCUUGUACAUAGCCUUGGUCCCGUUUGUUUUUACAUGAAUAACCACCCUGUUUGUGCUUCAGAGAACCAAAAACCAUUAAAGGAUCUGUUUUUGUCCGCGGUGUGCCUUGCCUGCCUCUCCCACCGUCUGAGCCUUGGGGACGGGGUCAGGGCUCUGAAUAAACGUUCCCGCCCGCUGCUGCUGUGGCCGCUGCUCUCUUAUCGAAGUCGCCCCGUCGCUGCUGCUUCCCGAGGGAGCCCCGGGCAGGGAGCCCCGGCUGCAGCUACGGCCUGGCCAUGGGGCGAUGGGACCGGGGCGGGCCUUAAGGCCUGGUUG